rnacentral:lncRNA from 1 species
CGGCGGCCGUGAGCAGAACGGCUCGUGUCCAAACACGCCUGGAGACGCGAAGGAGCGUGCUCUUCCGGCUCAUGUGAGAACAGACCUCACCUCUGCUAAAAGCAUGCUGAAUCCACAUUGACUGGAUGGCAGGAACCGCGUCAAGAGAAACAGAUCAAGUUGGAAGUCAAAGUGAACAUAGCUGCGGUAUGUUCUGACAAGACU